UCCUCUGGAGGCCAGCGAAGCUCCCCGCUCUCGACUUCCCCCUCUGUUGGCUCAACUACGAUGGAUGGCAGACGAUCUUUGAGCUUACAGCAACGGUCAAAGUCUGACGGGUCGGGGAAUAUCUAAAAACAUAGGUAAAAUACUGACUCACAGCUGGGGUGUGAACUGUUGGGAGAGGAAGCCAGCCUUCCUCUGGGUCAGUCUACUUCCUCUUAGAGUAUGUCUACAUGGCAGUAGCAGGUUCAUUCACCCUUGUCUCCCGUCAAGUCAGCUGGGCUCGCCACCCUGCCCUCUUCCCUCGGACCUCCUCCACAGCAUCCUCCCGGCGCUUCCCCGUGCCCAGCCAGUCUGCCACCACACUCUUCCACCAACCUCCCCGGUCAGUUCUCCCGUGCCUCCUCUCUCCCUUGUCUCAGUCUCCUUGGUUCCCCAUGCCUGUGUUUCCCUGGCAUCCGCCUCUCCCUCACCUCCACUAAAUAAAACCAUCCUGAAAAAAUUCA